rnacentral:rRNA from 1 species
AGCCAUGCAUGUUUAUGAGAGUUAUAUACUUGAAUGACGGACGGCUCAGUAAUACUUGUAUUAUCUAAAGUGUCGUUUUGAUAAACCACGGUAAUCUGUGGGUUAUUGAUACUGUGAGUACAAGACCUAUCAGUUUUUUUGUACGGUAAUGGCGUACGAUGACUAUGACGGGUGACGGAUGAUGAGAGUUAUAUUCCGGAGAGGGAGCCUGAGAGAUGGCUACUACGUCUAAGGAUGGCAGCAGGCGCGAAACUUGUCCAAUGUGAUAGUGAGACAGUUAUUUAGAUUGAAGGGGAAGUAAUUGUAAAAAGAUUACGUAUUGUACUGGAGGGCAAGUCGGGUGCCAGCAGCCGCGGUAAUACCUGUUCCAGUAGUGUGUGUGGACGAUGUUGCGGUUAAAAUGUCUGUGGCGUUUUUUUAUUAGGAGCUGAAGGAGGACAGAGUAUGGUUAGGAGAGAGGUGAAAUGUCAUGACCCUGAUUGGACUGUUUGAGGCGAAGGCGCUGUUCUUGUAAGUAUCUGAUUGUGAAAGACGAAGGCUGGAGGAUCGAAAUUGAUUAGAUACCUUUUUAGUUCUAGCAGUAAACUAUGGUGACUAUGGUGCAUGGUAUGUGUGGUAUAAAUGAAAGUGUAAGUUUUCGACCUGUGGGGAUAGUAUGCUGGCAAGAGUGAAAGUUAAAGAAAUU